rnacentral:lncRNA from 1 species
CUUGAGGAUGUUUCACCCUGAGCAGUGAGGUUCUAAAGUACCUACAGGGGUGGAGACAGGAUGGCAACGUGAUGUUGUUAUUGUUGUUUUCUGCAAGAAGCGUUGUGGAAAAACAAGAUGGAGAAGGUGAGAAAAUGAAAGUGGAAGAUCUGGAAUAUCUGGUCAAUGGAUAAAGAUGGAAGGAUAGAGAAAGGCUUUCUAAUCCUCCCCAACUUUCCAUGUGGUACCCUCCCCGCAACUUCCAGAAUUAUUUAACACCGUGAGAGUCGCAUCCAACAAAUAUUUGUUGCU